rnacentral:rRNA from 1 species
AGAUUGAACGCUGGCGGAAUGCUUUACACAUGCAAGUCGAACGGCAGCACGGGACUCAGGCAACUGAGCCCUGGUGGCGAGUGGCGAACGGGUGAGUAACAUAUCGGAACGUACCCAGUCGUGGGGGGAUAACUCUCCGAAAGGAGAGCUAAUACCGCAUACGUCCUGAGGGAGAAAGCGGGGGACCUAAGGGUAACUGAGGGCCUCGCGCGAUUGGAGCGGCCGAUAUCGGAUUAGCUAGUUGGUGAGGUAAAGGCUCACCAAGGCGACGAUCCGUAGCGGGUCUGAGAGGACGACCCGCCACACUGGAACUGAGACACGGUCCAGACUCCUACGGGAGGCAGCAGUGGGGAAUUUUGGACAAUGGGGGCAACCCUGAUCCAGCCAUUCCGCGUGAGUGAAGAAGGCCUCGGUUGUAAGCUCUUUCAGCAGGAACGAAACGGUGGUACGUUAAUACGGCCUAUUAAUGACGUACCUGCAGAAGAAGCACCGCUAACUACGUGCCAGCAGACCG